rnacentral:lncRNA from 1 species
CUGGUCACCCACCGGGGUGGUUGAUGUCUAUCUGGACUUUAUUAGGCCCAGUGUUUGUUCUUUGAGAAAGUAUACGGGUCUGGUCAUCUUGUCUUUAUCUUGAGGCCCAGUUUCCAACUGAUAUGUCUCUAACUGCAGCUGUGGUGUAUUCCACCUUUGUUCUGACUCUCUCGAGGACCUGGCCCUAUCUGACUGCCAAUAAUAUUUCUACUGAACUCAUCUGUAUAUAAUACAUCCACUCUGAAACAUUCCAAGGAAUGCCUUUGCUCUUUGGAUGAUUAGAAGGUAUAGAUAAGCUGAAGUUAAUGAAUGAUGUUCACAUCAUUGCCCUAUGGGAUCAUAUGAG